UAUCAAUAAGCGGAGGAAAAGAAACCAACUGGGAUUACCUUAGUAACGGCGAGUGAAGCGGUAAAAGCUCAAAUUUGAAAUCUGGUACUUUCAGUGCCCGAGUUGUAAUUUGUAGAAUUUGUCUUUGAUUAGGUCCUUGUCUAUGUUCCUUGGAACAGGACGUCAUAGAGGGUGAGAAUCCCGUUUGGCGAGGAUACCUUUUCUCUGUAAGACUUUUUCGAAGAGUCGAGUUGUUUGGGAAUGCAGCUCAAAGUGGGUGGUAAAUUCCAUCUAAAGCUAAAUAUUGGCGAGAGACCGAUAGCGAACAAGUACAGUGAUGGAAAGAUGAAAAGAACUUUGAAAAGAGAGUGAAAAAGUACGUGAAAUUGUUGAAAGGGAAGGGCAUUUGAUCAGACAUGGUGUUUUUUGCAUGCACUCGCCUCUCGUGGGCUUGGGCCUCUCAAAAAUUUCACUGGGCCAACAUCAAUUCUGGCAGCAGGAUAAAUCAUUAAGAAUGUAGCUACUUCGGUAGUGUUAUAGCUUUUUGGAAUACUGUUAGCCGG
rnacentral:rRNA from 1 species